rnacentral:rRNA from 1 species
UACAGAGGGUGCAAGCGUUAAUCGGAAUUACUGGGCGUAAAGCGUGCGUAGACGGUUAUGUAAGUCGGGUGUGAAAGCCCCGGGCUCAACCUGGGAAUUGCAUUGAGACUGCAUAGCUAGGGUGCGGAAGAGGGAAGCGGAAUUUCCGGUGUAGCGGUGAAAUGCGUAGAUAUCGGAAGGAACACCAGUGGCGAAGGCGGCUCACUGGCCCAUAACUGACGCUGAGGCACGAAAGCGUGGGGAGCAAACAGGG